CUAAAUUCAAAACAGUUUGAACAAUUCUUCCAGCUUUCAUACCUGUUCUAGUUGAGGCUGGCCAAAGAUACACCUUGGUUUUCUUAUAUUCUGUUUGUAUUGCAUGGGCAAUUGUGUGCUCCUCGUGCCGUUCUACAUAGUGGAGAUUCUGAAAGCAUUUCUCAUAUGCCUUCUGAAGAGCUAUAGAGACUGCUGGGCCUUUGGCUUUAGCAAAACCAACAACACCAUGAUAGUUUCCACAAGCUAAGAUAGCAGUGUACUUGACUACUUGUCCACCCUUUGUAACUUUACAAGUUCGAUUCACAUCUAUCAAUUUCACAUCAAAACCUUUCCUAUACAUUGGUCUUCUUUUCUUUUCUGUCAAAGAAUUUCUCUCCUCUGCAAGGUCUCUGAUUUCCUCCUCAAGAACCUUCCCCCUCUUUCCAAAGGUAUGAUCUAACUCAGCUAACUUCUCUUCGAGUUUUUUGUCAAUAGCAUUGAGCUUCUCUAAUAGUAUGUCAUCCCGUUCCUUCAUGUCAUCAAACUCCUCAUCCUCAUCAGACCCACCUUGUAUCAUUUGCUUUUCUUUUGCAAACCCAACAUUGUCCAAGACAUCAACAUUAGGGCCAGCUUGCGCAUGCUGAACAACUCCAUAAUUGGCAGGAUUGUUGGGAUCAUAAGCUUCCUUCCACUCUACCAGCCUCAUGGCCCUGUUUAAUUUCUGUUGAAGAAUAAAUUUAUCCUUGCCUUCUGCUAUUUUUAAACGAUUCAUCAACUCACCAAUGACCAUGUAUUCAGGUCGAAGAUGAAAAUGUUUUUGCUCAAACUUGUCAAUUUUACUCAUCCAUUUGAAAGCAUCCUCAAGUGUCUCAGAAUCUACAAAAUUCUUGAGCAACUCCUUAUGACGUUCAUGCUUCUUCUCGAACACUUCAAACCCUUUUGUCAAUGCUUCUCUCCCAAACCUCUCAUCAUCC
rnacentral:misc_RNA from 1 species